GACGAACGCUGGCGGCGUGCUUAACACAUGCAAGUCGAACGAAGUGGCGAACGGGUGAGUAACGCGUAAUCAACCUGCCCUUCAGAGGGGGACAACAGUUGGAAACGACUGCUAAUCCCGCAUACUGAUGGUGGGGCUUGCGUCUGAUUAGCUCGUUGGAGGGGUAACGGCCCACCAAGGCGAAGAUCAGUAGCCGGUCUUAGAGGAUGAACGGCCACAUUUGGACUGAGAAACGGCCCAGACUCCUACGGGGGGCAGGAGGGGGGAAAUUUCCGGAAAGGACGGAAAGCUGACGGAGCAACGGCGGGGUGUUGAUGACGGCCUUCGGGUUGUAAAGCUCUUUUAAUCGGGACGCGGUACCGGAAUAGAAAGCCACGGCUAACUACGUGCCAGCAGCCGCGGUAAUAC
rnacentral:rRNA from 1 species